UCAGCCACCCACCAUCUUAAAUAUCCACAUGUUCUGUGCAGACUGCUUAAUAAUUUUCAUAUCAUUCCUUGGAUAAUUUGCCGGUCUAUUAUUCGUAGAAGCCCAGAUGUAAUUAGCUUCAGCUCAAAGAGCAACAGAUGCACUGCUGGAAAUGGUUUCCUCAAGAUUUAUUUUCUUCCUUUCUCCUGGUGUUGUGAUACUCAUGUUCACUCAAUCCCUUGCUCAGCCAGCUUUUCUGAACCAUUUCUGUUUAAACGAUAAAGGCAACUACACCACUAACAGUACCUAUCAAAGAAACCUCAACACCCUACUCACCUCCCUUCCGGCCACAAAUAAUAGUAACGGCUACGGCUUCUACUAUUCCUCAAAUGGCGAAAACCCUAAUCGAGUUUAUGCAAUCGGACACUGUAGAGGAGACAUCGCCACCGAUGAUUGCCGUAGUUGCUUUAACGACUCCAGAGUUGGUCUCACACAGCUUUGUCCCAACCAGAAGGAAGCUAUUGGUUGGUACGACAAUUGCAUGUUACGGUACUCAAACCGAUCUAUCUAUGGCCUCCUGGAAAUUACGCCUAAUUUCCCUCUGUACAAUGUUCAAGACGUAUCAUCAUCUCUCGAAAAAGCUUUCUUUCAACAGCUUGAAAAGUUAUUGGAAAGCCUGAGGAGUCAAGCUGCUUCGGCCGGUCCUCUUCGUAAGUUUGCAAUCGGAAACACGACCACCAGCUCAGCUUUCCAAAAUAUAUUUGCAAUGACUCAGUGCACGCCAGAUUUGUCAGAGAAAGAGUGCAGUGAUUGCUUGGAGGGUGCUUUCGGACAAUACACGGCAUGUUGCUAUGGAAAGAUAGGUGGGAGAAUUAUUAGGCCCAGCUGUAAUUUUGGGUAUGAGAUUUCUAGCUUCAUUGAUCCAGCAAAUGUGGUACCACUGCCACCAUCACCAUCACCAUCACCAUCACCAUCACCAUCACCAAUAUCUCCUCCCCAACCACCGAUCAAUACUACCCCGGGAGGAUCAAAGGGUAACAAAUCUCGGAUAGUCAUCAUUGUCAUUGUGUCAAUCGGUACUGCACUGGUGGGACUAAUUAUAUCCAUUUGCAUUUGUUUACGAGUAAUGAAGUCAAAGGAAAAGCUUGCGGAAAGAAAGUUAAUUCCAGGUGAAGAUGUUGAAGAAAUUCAAAGUUUAGAAACAUUGCAAUUUGACUUUGACACCAUUAGAGAUGCCACCGAUAACUUUUCAGAUGCAAAUAAACUUGGAGAAGGUGGAUUUGGUUCUGUUUACAAGGGUCACCUUCUCAAUGGAGAAGUUAUAGCAGUGAAAAGACUUUCUAUAAAUUCUGGGCAAGGAAUUUCAGAAUUUAAAAAUGAGGUCUUGUUAGUGGCCAAGCUUCAACAUCGAAAUUUAGUUAGGCUUUUAGGUUUCUGCUUUGAAGGAAAUGAAAAACUUCUUAUUUAUGAAUUUGUCCCUAAUACAAGUCUCGAUCAUACUAUAUUUGACCAAAUUAAGCGCACACAAUUGGAUUGGGAUAGACGCUACAAAAUCAUUGUGGGAAUUGCUCGAGGGCUCCUUUACCUUCAUGAAGACUCUCGACUUCGAAUUAUUCAUCGUGAUCUCAAAGUUAGUAACAUCUUGUUAGAUGCAGAACUAAAUCCUAAAAUUGCAGAUUUUGGCAUGGCAAGAUUAUUCGUACCUGAUCAAACUCAAGGCAAUACGAGUCGAAUUGUUGGGACCUACGGAUAUAUGGCUCCAGAAUAUGCAAUGCAUGGACAAUUCUCUGUCAAGUCUGACGUCUAUAGUUUCGGCGUGUUAGUUUUAGAGAUAAUAACUGGACAAAAGAAUAGUUGUUUUCGCCAUGGAGAGAAUGUAGAGGAUCUUCUCAGCUAUGCAUGGAAAAGUUGGAAGGAAGGGACAGCUCCAAAUCUAAUAGAUCCCACAUUGAGGAAUGGCUCGAGAUCUGAAAUAAUGAGAUGCUUCCACAUUGGAUUAUUAUGUGUACAAGACAAUAUAGUUGAUAGGCCAACCAUGACUUCAAUUAGUGUCAUGCUGAAUAGCUACUCUCUUGCUCUCGCAUUACCUUCAGCACCCAACUUUUUUAUGACCAGCAGGACAGAUCCACUGGCAAUGGACUAUUCUUCAACGGUGAUUGAGUCUGAUCCAUCAAUAAGCAGUAGCUCCUUGAUCGCUGCCUCAGUCCAUGACGAUUCAACUGAAAUAUUUCCUCGCUAGCUAGUGUGCGAAGGAUCCACUGAAAUUGCACUUUCAGGCCAGGUUGCACGUACUUCCCAUUGCACCUGAUUGCUCUUAUAGAAGAAAACCCUAGGUUAGCCACUCAGCCCCUCAUUUUGACUCUGCCUCCCUCAUCUCUCUCAACUCAGAGCGACACAGCCGCUCUUCUCUCUCGACUCACAACUGACCGAAGACGCCGAUUAAGGACGCCAACGCCGACCGAGGACAUCUUCUUAUCUCAUCUCCGGCUGGAAUCGGGAAGUGGAGCAUUGCAAACUCCCAAUGCCACACCAACUAGGUCAAGUAAACUGCCUUUAACUUUGGUCUGUAAUAACUUUAAAUUGAUGUUUGGUACUUUGCACUUGAUGUUUGGGACUUUAACUUUGGUUUGUAAUCUUUUAAUUUAUGGUUGGUACUCUUUGAACUUGAUGUUUGGGACUUUGAAACUUUGAUUUAUUGAUUUUGUUUAGAAACU